rnacentral:rRNA from 1 species
GACGAACCGUGCGAACGUUGUUCGGAAUCACUGGGCUUAAAGGGCGCGUAGGCGGCUCAUCAAGUCCGGGGUGAAAGCCCCCAGCUUAACUGGGGAAGUGCCUCGGAUACUGGUGAGCUCGAGGGAGGUAGGGGCGGAUGGAACUUCCGGUGGAGCGGUGAAAUGCGUUGAUAUCGGAAGGAACGCCGGUGGCGAAAGCGAUCCGCUGGCCCUCUACUGACGCUGAGGCGCGAAAGCCAGGGGAGCAAACGGG